rnacentral:ncRNA from 2 species
GCUUUCGAGGGGCGCUGCGACCAGGACAGCCUGGCCAGGCUCGGAAGCACACCUUGUGCGUGGAACUGCGCCCUUCGUUU